GGUCGGUUAGCUCAGUUGGUAGAGCGUUUCGUUGACAUCGAAGAGGUCGCUGGUUCGAGCCCAGUACCGACCACCA
rnacentral:tRNA from 1 species